UAUGGCCACAUCACAUUGAAACACCUAUUCUCGUAUGAUCCCUAAAGUUAAGCAACAUUGAGCCUAGUCAGUACCUAGAUGGGUGACUACUUGGGAAUUCCAGGUACUGUAAG
rnacentral:rRNA from 1 species